GACGUAGGGCGCGAGCGUUGUCCGGAUUUAUUGGGCGUAAAGAGCUCGUAGGCGGUUUGUCGCGUCUGCUGUGAAAUCUGGGGGCUCAACCCCCAGCCUGCAGUGGGUACGGGCAGACUAGAGUGCGGUAGGGGAGAUUGGAAUUCCUGGUGUAGCGGUGGAAUGCGCAGAUAUCAGGAGGAACACCGAUGGCGAAGGCAGGUCUCUGGGCAUUAACUGACGCUGAGGAGCGAAAGCAUGGGGAGCGAACAGG
rnacentral:rRNA from 1 species